AUGAGAAGGAAGAACCAAAGCUGAAGUUAAGCAAACUGAUGGCCAUCCCAGCAGACUGAGCUCCUUUCUCCAGUAUCCUAUGGCAACCCAACUCUUCAAGGAAGAGAAGACUACUUCACAUUUUCUGUGAAAUGCAAAUCCUUUCUCUGGGCUGAGACCAGCUUU